rnacentral:rRNA from 1 species
CGSSUKCCUAUACAUGCAGUCGAGCGAAYGGAUUAAGAGCUUGCUCUUAUGAAGUUAGCGGCGGACGGGUGAGUAACACGUGGGUAACCUGCCCAUAAGACUGGGAUAACUCCGGGAAACCGGGGCUAAUACCGGAUAAYAUUUUGAACCGCAUGGUUCGAAAUUGAAAGGCGGCUUCGGCUGUCACUUAUGGAUGGACCCGCGUCGCAUUAGCUAGUUGGUGAGGUAACGGCUCACCAAGGCAACGAUGCGUAGCCGACCUGAGAGGGUGAUCGGCCACACUGGGACUGAGACACGGCCCAGACUCCUACGGGAGGCAGCAGUAGGGAAUCUUCCGCAAUGGACGAAAGUCUGACGGAGCAACGCCGCGUGAGUGAUGAAGGCUUUCGGGUCGUAAAACUCUGUUGUUAGGGAAGAACAAGUGCUAGUUGAAUAAGCUGGCACCUUGACGGUACCUAACCAGAAAGCCACGGCUAACUACGUGCCAGCAGCCGCGGUAAUACGUAGGUGGCAAGCGUUAUCCGGAAUUAUUGGGCGUAAAGCGCGCGCAGGUGGUUUCUUAAGUCUGAUGUGAAAGCCCACGGCUCAACCGUGGAGGGUCAUUGGAAACUGGGAGACUUGAGUGCAGAAGAGGAAAGUGGAAUUCCAUGUGUAGCGGUGAAUGCGUAGAGAUAUGGAGGAACACCAGUGGGCGAAGCGACUUUCUGGGUCUGUAACUGACACUGGAGCGCGGAAGCGUGGGGAGCAAACAGGAUUAGAAUACCCCUUGGGGU